rnacentral:rRNA from 1 species
UACGUAGGGUGCGAGCGUUGUCCGGAAUUACUGGGCGUAAAGAGCUCGUGGGUGGUUUGUCGCGUUGUUCGUGAAAACCGGGGGCUUAACCCUCGGCGUGCGGGCGAUACGGGCAGACUUGAGUACUGCAGGGGAGACUGGAAUUCCUGGUGUAGCGGUGGAAUGCGCAGAUAUCAGGAGGAACACCGGUGGCGAAGGCGGGUCUCUGGGCAGUAACUGACGCUGAGGAGCGAAAGCGUGGGGAGCGAACAGG